GCUCCCGUAGUCUAGCCCGGCCAAGGAUAUCGGCCUUUCGAGCCGAGGACACGGGUUCAAAUCCCGUCGGGAGCA
rnacentral:tRNA from 1 species